GACGAACGCUGGCGGCGUGCCUAAUACAUGCAAGUAGAACGCUGAAGAGAGGAGCUUGCUCUUCUUGGAUGAGUUGCGAACGGGUGAGUAACGCGUAGGUAACCUGCCUUGUAGCGGGGGAUAACUAUUGGAAACGAUAGCUAAUACCGCAUAACAAUGGAUGACCCAUGUCAUUUAUUUGAAAGGGGCAAAUGCUCCACUACAAGAUGGACCUGCGUUGUAUUAGCUAGUAGGUGAGGUAACGGCUCACCUAGGCGACGAUACAUAGCCGACCUGAGAGGGUGAUCGGCCACACUGGGACUGAGACACGGCCCCGACCCCUACGGGAGGCAGCAGUAGGGAAUCUUCGGCAAUGGGGGCAACCCUGACCCAGCAACGCCGCGUGGGUGAAGAAGGUUUUCGGGUCGUAAAGCCCUUUUGUAAGUCAAGAACGAGUGUGAGAGUGGAAAGUUCACACUGUGACGGUAGCUUACCAGAAAGGGACGGCUAACUACGU
rnacentral:rRNA from 1 species